rnacentral:rRNA from 1 species
AUUGAACGCUGGCGGCAUGCCUUACACAUGCAGGUCGAACGGCAGCGGACCUUCGGGUGCCGGCGAGUGGCGAACGGGUGAGUAAUGCAUCGGAACGUACCUUUCAGUGGGGGAUAACGUAGCGAAAGUUACGCUAAUACCGCAUAUUCUGUGAGCAGGAAAGCAGGGGAUCGCAAGACCUUGCGCUGAUUGAGCGGCCGAUGUCAGAUUAGCUAGUUGGUGAGGUAAAGGCUCACCAAGGCGACGAUCUGUAGCGGGUCUGAGAGGAUGAUCCGCCACACUGGAACUGAGACACGGUCCAGACUCCUACGGGAGGCAGCAGUGGGGAAUUUUGGACAAUGGGGGCAACCCUGAUCCAGCCAUGCCGCGUGAGUGAAGAAGGCCUUCGGGUUGUAAAGCUCUUUCGGCCGGGAAGAAAUCGCACGGGCUAAUACCCUGUGUGGAUGACGGUACCGGAAUAAGAAGCACCGGCUAACUACGUGCCAGCCGCCGCAGUAAAAC